rnacentral:misc_RNA from 1 species
UGAGGGUGACAGUGGUAGCAGCAAGCUCAGGGUAUGGGUUGCUGAUGUAGACACUGGAAAAGCUACUCCACUUUUUCAAUCGCCUGAUAUACACUUAAAUGCAAUUUUUGACAAUUAUGUUUGGGUUGAUGAUUCUACAUUGUUGGUUUGCACUAUCCCUGCUUCUCGUGGGCCUCCCCCGAAGAAGCCAUUGGUUCCCUCUGCCCCAAAAAUUCAGUCAAAUGAACAGCAGUGUGUUGUUCAAGCCAGGACCUACCAGGAUCUGCUGAAAGAUGAGUAUGACGA